UACAUUUUUUUAUUAUAUCUUCACUCUUUGCUCAAUUAUAAUCGGGAUUUCAUUUCCUCUCCACACCUCUCUCUCUCUCUCGCCUAAUUUCAUUGUUGAUUUCAUCCCUGCUCUCAGAGACUCUGAUCGGUGGUUUGUGGAUUUCGUCCCCGACAAUUCGAUCCCUAAUCUGAUCUCUCUCAACAGCUAUUUCAGCGAUUUCAAUCACAGGGGAACUCAAAGAAGAUAGCAAACAAAACUUUAAUGGUGAUAGUGAAGUGCAGCGGACGAUGCUGGAGCUUCUUAAUCAACUGGAUGGAUUUGAGCAUCUAACAAAAUCAAAGUCAUUUGAUGCUAGAGAGUAGAUGGAAGAUGAUCAAAACAUAGGAGAGAAAAGCUGCCUACAGCUAGCCAGAAUUUUGAAGCCUACAUGCAAGGACUUGGUAUAAAGG